AAAGAAAAUAACAAUGAUUCCCCUAGUAACGGCGAGCGAAGAGGGAAUAGCUCAAAUUUUAAAUCUGUUGGGUCUUACCUAACCGAGUUGUAAUUUGAAGAAGCGUUUUCUGCGUGUUUGAUUUAGCCCAAAUCCUUUGGGAUAGGGUAUCAUGGAGGGUGAGAAUCCCGUCCGGCCUAAUCAAAUGUGCUUUACGAUACGUUUUCUAAGAGUCGAGUUGUUUGGGAUUGCAGCUCAAAAUUGGAGGUAAAUUUCUCCUAAGGCUAAAUAUAGGCGAGAGACCGAUAGCGAACAAGUACCGUGAGGGAAAGAUGAAAAGAACUUUGAAAAGAGAGUUAAACAGUACGUGAAAUUGUUGAAAGGGAAACGAUUAAAGUCAGUCGUACUAACGGGGAAUCAACCUUUUGAGGGUGGAAUUGUGGGAUUCAGAGUGCCUUUGUCUUUCACAACCUGCUUUUUUUGGGUGCACUUCCUCGUAUUGUAGGUCAGCAUCGGUUUCGACCGUUAUAAAAUGACUGGAGGAAUGUAGCUUCGAUCUCGUAUUGAAGUGUUAUAGCCUUUGGUAGAUGUAACGGAUGGGAUCGAGGAUUGCAAUGAAUACCCUCAUGGGCUAUCCGCCUGGCCUCUGACAUGUCACUCUGGUGCCGAAAGCUUGCUUAUGGUAUUAUAGUGUACGGUCAAAAGGUUAGAACGGAUUAAAUU
rnacentral:rRNA from 1 species